rnacentral:rRNA from 1 species
AGAGUUUGAUCCUGGCUCAGAACGAACGCUGGCGGCGUGCUUAACACAUGCAAGUCGAACGCGAAAGUUUUCUUUAGGGAAGAUGAGUAGAGUGGCGCACGGGUGAGUAACGCGUAAAUAAUCUACCCCUGCAUUCGGGAUAACCCACCGAAAGGUGUGCUAAUACCGGAUACGUUCUUUUAACCGCGAGGUUUUAAGAAGAAAGGUGGCCUCUGAUAUAAGCUACUGUGCGGGGAGGAGUUUGCGUACCAUUAGCUAGUUGGUAGGGUAACGGCCUACCAAGGCGACGAUGGUUAGCGGGUCUGAGAGGAUGAUCCGCCACACUGGAACUGGAACACGGACCAGACUCCUACGGGAGGCAGCAGUGAGGAAUAUUGCGCAAUGGGGGCAACCCUGACGCAGCGACGCCGCGUGGAUGAUGAAGGCCUUCGGGUCGUAAAAUCCUGUCAGAUGGAAAGAAGUGUGUAUGUGCUAAUACCAUGUACAUUUGACGGUACCAUCGAAGGAAGCACCGGCUAACUCCGUGCCAGCAGCCGCGGUAAUAGGGAGGGUGCAAGCGUUGUUCGGAAUUACUGGGCGUAAAGCGCGCGUAGGUGGUCUGUUAUGUCAGAUGUGAAAGUCCACGGCUCAACCGUGGAAGUGCAUUUGAAACUGGCAGACUUGAGUACUGGAGGGGGUAGUGGAAUUCCCGGUGUAGAGGUGAAAUUCGUAGAUAUCGGGAGGAAUACCGGUGGCGAAGGCGACUACCUGGCCAGAUACUGACACUGAGGUGCG